AUAUUCUGUUGAGGAAUGAAAUUCAAAAACUGUACAAAUACAGAGAAAUGACCCAAUUCUGGAUUUUAAUUUUGAUCUUCAGCACCAUGUAUACAGUAGAAUCUGGUAGACACUGGGUUUCUGCACAAUCCCUCACAAAGUCACCAGUUUAUCAGCCUGAUAAAGAGCUCAGUGUGGAUAUCGGAGACUCGGCUACUCUGCGCUGUUGUAUUUCUGAAACAGUAGCUAGUGUAAUAUUCUGGUUUAAGCAACUAAACAGACAAAAACUUCAGCUUAUGGUCACAGUUUAUAAAACAGCAGGAGAAACAUUUUACAAUGGAUUCCAUAAGUCACGUUUCAGAAUAAAAAGAUUUUCAAACUGCUUCAACACAACUAUUUUAAACACCAUUCAGUCUGAUGAAGCCAUGUACUACUGUGCCGUGAGAUAUCCUAACCUUGCGUUUGCAGAUGGGACGUAUUUAAAAAUUAAAGGUGAGAAUGUUUUCACCGAAUCAGAAACAUCUACACCUAAACCUGCUCUGUGUAAUAAUUCAGUGGUGCAUGAAGCAACACUGCAUGGAAACAGCACCAACAUCAGCUCACAAAAUAAAACAGUAUAGGAAUUGAUCAGAUCUCUACAUUGGACAGUGCUCGGUUUGGGAUCGGCUUUGGGUUUCUGCGCACUUCUGAUUAUCUUCC